AUGGCUGCGGCGGCAGGGGGCAGCGGGCUCGACCAUGCGGUGGUCGCUACCUCCCUGGUUACGGUCAAGAGUGAAGAACACAACAUGAGUUGUGGCAGUUUUUAAUGAGUUCUGCACUAACGAAUGGUCUGGCUGUGGUGGUUAUGCUGAAGACCUAAACGCCUCUAAGGGGUGUAAUGCAAGAUGAACAGACCUGUCGGCCUGGAACGCUGGUGUGCUACUCCCUCUGCCUCUCCGUGUCAGUUAAGCGUUCAGCAAACCAAUGAGUUCACCAUGUAACACAUACUAUUGCUUUAGCUACAUUUAAACACUCACAGACAUUUCAACUCGAACUCUGCUGAGAGCAAAGUGUAACACUGCGUAUGGUUCACCAUAGAACCCGGUGCUGAAUAUUUUAAAAAGCUGCUGUAUCCGUGAUGGAGCAUUUACAACUGAAAGUAUUCUGGCACAAAAGCUGCUUGUUCAGCCUUUCGUUAGACCCGCACAAACAUUAACAUGAUCUUCCUUUGUGGUUCCUUUUUUUUUUUUCCUACUAACUACAAAGAAUAAGAGAAGAAAAAACCCCAGAUCUACUGUUACCUGCAAAAGUCACGAACACAAAGUAUUACCAUGGCUGUGAUUUCUCUGAAUAAGUGUGUGAUACUCUCCUUAUAUAUGGGGUGAAUACUGAUGAAUUUUCAAAACUCUUGAAAUCAACAAUAUAAGAGAAAGGUAUCCCCCCAUCCUGUCCUCCCUUGGAAAGCUGAAGGACAUAAAGCGAAGGUGUUCCAGUUCUUUGUCUAUUGAUCUUCACCAGGAAAUGCUGGGUUUGACUCUGUACCUUGAAGGAAAUAAGCAUUUAAAAUGUAGCCAUCAACACCAGCCUUUCAGAGCAACAGCAACACUCGGAGCCUUUCUCAGCAUCAUGAAUUGCUCAUGAAUCAAUUUGUGAAAGACCCUUCAUAGAGACAUUGAGGUAAGAGUCACAGGAGCUACUGAAUAUUUUUCCCACCUUGUGCUAUUAUUUACGUUAUGGCUCAGGGACUACAAAUAAGAGUUACUCAUGAAACAUUCUUUUUAAAAGGUGGUAAUCUGAUUAACUAUUAAAGUCUCUUAAUGGAAUUUUAUACAAUUCUCCUUGUUUACACACUCAUUUUGGGCUUCAGCUUAGUCUUGCUGAGGUUCUUAGAGAUUUUAAUUCAACCUUGCAAAUUUUUAUCUGCUGGUUUUCCUUGUGCAUCAGUUCAAAGAGGAGCGUCUCCUGGAUGACUUCUUUUCCCCUACAUUAUGGUUUUCAGCAUGCCAUACAGGUGAUAUUUAGACUUCUGUAUUUCCAUCUAAGCCUGGUAGUCACAAUAUAUGUAUCUUAUUUCUGACACUGUAUUUGAUACUGAGAAAAAAAGGCUUUGCAUUCAUCUGAAAUACGUAGGAUUUUGAGUUAUUGCAAUUAGAUGGAACAGCUGAGAUUGUUGUCCUGUCAAUUUAUAGCUGUAGCUAAAGUUUCAGAGGGCAGGAGACUAUCACACUAGUUUAAAGGUGGUCAGAUGCCCUUUUCGUGUUGGUAAGUCUCAAUGAAGUGCCUUUCAGUAAUCUAACUGAAAUGGUGAUGUUAUAAUAACCAGGUCAGCGGUUGGAAGAAACAGUUAUAAUCAAUAGAGAUAUAAAAAUGAAAAACUUCUUAGACAAGGUUGCUUUAUGAUUAAUCAAUAAUAGCUGAAGGUUGAAUAUAACCAAAGUAUUGCAGUUUUAUUAGCUUGUCCUUGAGUAAAGUGAUACCCAGAAAUGACAUAUAUCCAAAUCAGGGUGUAGAACAGCCGGUAUUCCCAGAAUUUGUGAGGAGAAGCUGAACUAAACCAGGGAAGAUUUGCAUGUGUACAAGAAAUCAGAUUAUGCUAUGCUUCUUUAUUCAGUUCUUUGAAUAGUUAAUAUGAACUUUAUCUGGGAGUCCCAAUAAAACACUCUAAAAGGUAGUGUUCACAUGGAGAGGCAAUGAAAGUAUAACCAUUACAAAAAGACAAAACCAAAUAUUGUAAAAUUAUUAAACCCAAAAAUCCUUCAUUACACGUGUUAGACUGGUGGGUAAUCUUCUUUGAUCUUGUAAAAACUUAUUAGUGAGAAGAGCCAACUAAUCUCUAUUGAUUUCCUAUCAUAAUUAUUUAAGCUGACCUUUGAUUAAACUUGACUAUUUCUUUGUUUCCUUUAGAAGUCAUUACUCCACCUUCUCCUCCUCCAAAUACAUAGUAUUCUGUAUAGCAAGUUUGGAAUAGAUAGGCACCCAAGGUUCAUUUUGUCACAGAUUCUACUUUAGUGUAGAUAUAUGUUUCCACUAGUGGUUUUCAGUUUCUACAGUAUACUGUAUCUUCCUGACCUGGAUAUGGAAGGAAGCCUGAGGGAAUCAAGUCUACUUUGCACCUGCAGUACAGAAGCUUCCCAGUUUCACAGAGAGGAGUCAAAGAAGUGAACACUGGAAUCCAAACUUCAGAAGCUUCACAAACUGCAGAAAAUAAUAUUUGAAGACAGAUCAGUCUGAAGAUUACCUGAACACCAUGAAGAUUUUAAGUGCAAUAAUUAAGUCCUACCACAAGAGGACCCCCAAAGACAGUUUGUCUUGAGUGGAAAACGAGAUGAUACAAAUUUGUCUUCAGAACACUGAUGUGUGCCAUACAUUUAAUUAUGCUUCUAGAUAGCUUAUACAUUUCACUGUAAUUUUUAAAGAAGACAUGGUAUUAGCUCCUUAAAUACUGGCUACAGACUACGUUAGGACUAAUAGUAUUUCACAUAAACCCAGGAACCAUAUUUGAACCAAAUUAAACACUAAGAACAUAUAAUGACUUUUGUUAUUAUUUUUGUUAGUAGUAAAUUUAAACACUUAGAAAGGAUUUUUUUAUUAUUGCUAAAUGCAUUUUAAUUUUGAGAACUGUCUUGUAUACCAUGAUCUAGAUUGUUCUUCCAUUACUUUCAUCUACUCAGAACACUAUGAAACACUUAUGCAGUACCUGUGCUGAAUCCUGAAGUUCCCUUACAGACACUUUAACUAGACAAUACUUAUUCUGCUUUAAUGAUCCUGUCCCUUGCAGCUUACAUUUUCACAGACUUCUUUUACAUUUUCACAGACUUUCAAAGAAAAUCAUAUGCACUAAGAGUGGAGCGUGAGGUUGAGCUCUCUUGGAUUAUAAUGAAAAGUCAACUAAAUGUUCUCAUUCUACAGGAAGGACUUCGGUGCUGUACUCUUUACUCUUUAAAAAGCUCCACUUCAAUAAUGUAUUGCUAAACCAAAUCAAAUGAGAUUUUCAGCAAAACCAUCGUGAUUAAAUGGAAGGCUGCUAAAGGAACAGCCGUUCUAAUUUAAUCUCAAAAAAAAGAGGCAGUAUCAAACAAGGAAUGGAAACUUAUUCAAAACUUUUAAACUACUUUUUAAUAACAAGUUAGAGAAGUCUAUCUUUACAAAACAACAGAAAAAAUAAGGUUAUCACUUUAGAAAGAGUCUACUUACCGUUCAGAAAAUUUUAAAUCAGGACACUUAGGUGAAUAACUAUAUGUAUAAAAUUUAGCUUCAGUAACUCAUUAGAAUGGUCUAAUUUUGAUGACAGAAGAGGUCAGUCUUGGUUGUAAAAGUAUAUGGUCUAAAGCCAAAGCCCUGACUUUGUAGAUACAUAGACAAAACCAAGACGUUUUCCCAUUACUUUUUAGAAAAAACAAGAAGUGCAAGUAGUUUAUGGUAGUUCAUCCAAAUAUAGUUCUACAGAAAGUAAGAGACAUUUUGAUACUAUAAAAGAAGGUGAUAUUCUACUUACAAUGAUAAUCAAGCUAAAUGACAAUUAAUUAUCAUGAAUAUUCCUACCAUUCACUAUACAAUCACUUCAGCUCAUGUAACAGUCAAAGGCUCUAGGCCUGUGUUCAACACAAGCAAACACUUAGGUAUUCUUAAAAGCAGUAUGAGCUAGUUUUACUAAAGUGUCAUAGAGAACAGUUUCCUCAGAUCUCUUAAUCUGAGUAUGAAAAUAUUGAUGACAUGUCUUUGAGCUUAGACUUGAAUAAGCCUGAGUUUAGAUAAAUCAUUACUACAAGACUCAGUCUGCUUUU